AAUGAACGUUGGCGGCGUGGAUUAGGCAUGCAAGUCGAGCGGAAAGGCCCGCAAGGGCACUCGAGCGGCGUAAGGGACAGUAAUGUGUAGGUAACGUACCCCUGGGUCUAGGAUAGCUGCGGGAAACUGCAAUUAAUACUAGAUAACGUCUCCGGACCAAAGGUGUGAUUCCACCUGGGGAGCGGCCUACAUCCUAUUAGCUAGUUGGCGAGGUAAUGGCUCACCAAGGCGAAGAUGGGUAGCAGGUGUGAGAGCACGACCUGCGUCACUGGGACUGAGACACGGCCCAGACACCUACGGGUGGCUGCAGUCGAGAAUCUUCGGCAAUGGGCGCAAGCCUGACCGAGCGACGCCGCGUGCGGGAUGAAGGUCUUCGGAUUGUAAACCGCUGUCGGGAGGGAUGAAGUGUAUCGGGGCUAUCCCCGGUAUUUGACAGAGCUCCAGAGGAAGCACGGGCUAACUACGUGCCAGCCGCCGCGGUAAGAC
rnacentral:rRNA from 1 species